rnacentral:rRNA from 1 species
GGACCCGCACAAGCGGUGGAGCAUGUGGUUUAAUUCGAAGCAACGCGAAGAACCUUACCAAGUCUUGACAUCUGCCUGACCGCCUCGUAAUGGAGGCUUUCCUACGGGACAGGCAAGACAGGUGGUGCAUGGUUGUCGUCAGCUCGUGUCGUGAGAUGUUGGGUUAAGUCCCGCAACGAGCGCAACCCUUAUCUUUAGUAGCCAGCAGUUCGGCUGGGCACUCUAGAGAGACUGCCAGGGAUAACCUGGAGGAAGGUGGGGAUGACGUCAAAUCAUCAUGCCCCUUAUGACUUGGGCUACACACGUGCUACAAUGGCGUAAACAAAGGGAAGCGACCCCGUGAGGGUGAGCGAAUCUCAAAAAUAACGUCUCAGUUCGGAUUGUAGUCUGCAACUCGACUACAUGAAGCUGGAAUCGCUAGUAAUCGCGAAUCAGCAUGUCGCGGUGAAUACGUUCCCGGGUCUU